rnacentral:lncRNA from 1 species
CUCGAAGUAUAAACAACUUGUCGUCUCUUGAAGGUGGUAAGUUAUAGUGAAUAGUUAGACUCUUCCAAAUUUAUAUCUGUUUAGCAGAUUACUUUGGUAGGAUGCACAGCUUUUCUUCCAGUGGAAUGCAAUUCAUAUCAUCCAUUGUAUUCCAAGUGUGACUGUAGCCUGGAAGUAAUUGACAUGACCAGCAGUCUAACAGCCUACUUUUCAAGUUUGACAUACAGCAUAUAACUUCUGACUUACAGUAUUUAUUUUACAAAUCUGCCAUGUCUCUCCUCUCUUACUUGGACAAUGCCUUGUUUUCUCCUCUGAAUCUUUGCAUUUAAAAAGAUUGCUUCCUGUUCUGCUCAGUGGUCAAGUGUAGGGCCUAUUAAGGAUUCUAACCCAAACCCAGCACCGAGAUCACCCUGAGUACUUUGCUGUUCUAUAGGACUGCUCCAUCUCUGCAAAGAAGAAUCCGGAGAGGAAGGGCAGUCUCUCCGCUGCCACAUGGGGAGCAAGAACUCCCCACAGGUGGGUCUUCAGGGGGUAUCAUCACUCAGAUGUUAUUAUGGUCUUUUCACAUUAGAAAGUUAGUGAAAUACACUUUGCUGCUCUUGAUUCAGCAAUAAGAAAUAUUCUUUCAAUUCCUACUUUUCAAGCCAAUUUGUUAUCUGCAGUUUUAUUUCCAGAAGUUGAUUCUAGGUGUAGUCAAUAGAUUGAUCUUUGGGUUUUUCUUUGGGUUUCUCAUCUGAUAGAAGAAAGUACUAUUAAAGUAGGCAGUCACCUCUCAUCUUCCUUCUUCAUUGACCUCUCAGCUCUUUGUAAAUACUGUGCUCACUUCUAGAGGCCAGUUCCUAGACAUCUGUAAAGUGCUUGAGAUGCACCGUCUGUAGGCGUGGAUGAGUCCACGGAGACUGAGGUGUUUGUUGGUCACAGGCUACUGUCGGGCUGCCUAAUUCUUAUUGGGAGAUGAUACCUCUCUUUUCUGAGCUUCUCAACUAACGCAGAAGAGCAAUCUGCAGAGCUCUGCCCAUCACUCUUCUUUGAUGCCUGCUUGAUCCUGACUUAGAAUUCCUGGGACUGAGUAGGAACCUGCAGAGAGAAGAAGCUUUAGUUUAGAUCUGUUCAUGACUGAUCAGUUGGCUCCAGUGGUCUGAUGAAGUUGUCCUUAACUGUGUCUGACACCAUGGAAAUAGUUCACCCAUCAAGCAGGAUUUGAUGGAAUCUUGGUGUUCUACCUUCUCAGGGACCAAAAAUGUAACAUUAACUCCUUAGCAUUGACCUUCCUCUCAAAGACAUGUCUGUGUUAUUAAUAGUUUUUCAUAUGUUUUACUCAUAAUCAUAGCUAGAGGUCUGUUAGUUUGAGUUG